UUAGGUUUAAUCAGGAUCUGGGAAAAUGACCCAUAAAGAUACCAUUCCACUGUACCACAUUCUGACUCCUCCAGAGUUCCAGGAGCUGGUCCUGGGUCUGCUGGUGGACAUCAGUCAGUGAGUGAAGGUUCUGGUAGGAUGGGUGGGAGUUUUGUAACACUGGGAUUCUGCUGAGGGUUCUGGACCUGGAACAGACUUCCAGUUUGAUGUGUGUAGAAUCCUGGAAGACGUGGCCAACCUGGAGAGAGUUCUAGAGACUCCGGAGGUAGCUGCCCAGAUGGUAUGUGGAUCUGCAGAGAAGCAUUGAUUGACAAACUGGCAUCAAUGAAUUUACCUCCACUUAAAGUUGUUGGUGUAACUCCAAUACAUAUCGAAUAAUACAUUUUUUGGUAGUUAAAAAAAACAUGUUUUUCAGAAACAGUUCCUGAGUAGGAUCGGUGGGAACACGUUGAGGGACAAUGUCACCGGAGUGAUGGAGAGGCUGAUGACCAAUGAACUGAUGAGCAACUUCAACAUGAAAGGAAGGAAAUGGACCAAGAAGAGUUUUCUCACACACUCCCUGAGCAAAAUCUUUAUUGACAUCAUCUUGAUUACCCACCCAUAUGCCACUGAGUCUGCUGUCCUGCACCUGAUGGUCAACGUGCUGAAUACGCCCCAGACAGACAUGGAGGGGGAGGCCUACAAAACAGUUGUAGGUAUUAUUUAUUUUCUGCGGUAGUAGAAUAUAAAUUAAUUGAUAAUGCCAGAGAAGCCGUUUUUUUUGGAGGAUAUAUGGGCACGGGUUCAUCUCGGGCCGGCAAACAGUGCCAAUAUAUCCUCAACACCGAGGGCAUUAUCACUUUUAUUCAACGGGUUACCAACGCAUCAAAUAAUGAUUUACAUAUUUUGAUUAAAAAAUGUUAUUUUGAUUAAUUUAUUCAUACUAUUUCAUCCUUCCACAAGAUAAAGAUAUAGUCCCAACAUAAAUAUAGGGUCGUUACCCAUGUAGGCUGGUCGUUCGUUCUAAAUGUU
rnacentral:lncRNA from 1 species